rnacentral:lncRNA from 1 species
CGCCUGAACAAAAGCAUGAUGGGUAGUGUUGUCCGAACAGACCGCUAGAUGGGGCUGAUCCUCCAUGGGAAUCUGGGUGGGUCGGCGCGUCGGUGGAAGGGUUCGUGAGAGGACUCGCGGCGUCUUCCUGCAGCCAGGCUUGGAUUCUUCUAUGGCAUGAUCACAAGGAUCCUACGAUCUCUGUGAUUCUCUAUCUAGGACCAUCAAGGGAACCAAUGGAGACAGCCUGCUCUUGUAUUGUGUGCCUCCUUCGACCACCAUGUUGGAACACAUUGUUCUCAUCCUCCCAUUCUACCAUGGGAAGUCUUCAAAUACUUGAGGUAGUAGCUAUCUCCCUAACUACCGGAUGAUGGCUUUGAGGCUGGUCGGUUACUUUCAACCUGGUUUAUCCAGUCUGCUGAGAUGGUUUUACUGGGAUACAACCACUUGUAUACUACAGAUUUCUUGGAACCACAGGUAAGAGUUGGGUGAAAGGUAAACACCAAAGGUAGACGAGUAGCCCUGCAGGGGCUGGGCAAGCUCUUACAGCUUAGGUGCUAGUCCUCCCUAGACACCCCACAUACCCCAGAUACAUGAAUAUAAUGUAAAGAGCUGCUACUACUGCUGCUGCUGCUGCUACUAAGCACUUAUAGAGUGUUUUAAGGUUUGAAAAGUGUUUUUACAAAUAGUCUCAUUUUAGCUUCAAAGCAACCCUGAGAAGUGUUUGUUUUUUGUUUUAUUUGUAGGACAUACUUUUAAGUUUAACCUGCUUUAUCAGAUUAUUUUUUAUCACUUUCUUAAGACUAGACAAUUAAUAAAACAAUAAAUCAGACCUUGAUUUAUACA